ensembl:lncRNA
AGCUAGGGGGUGGAAGAUAGGAGAGGAGAGGCAUAGACUUUGCUAUAACUGACUUUUGUUGUUCUUGCUUGCAUUCUUCUCCUUUUUAAAUCGGCCCCCUUUUCACAUUGUGUGUCGCCAUAAACGGCUUUUCUUGUUGCAGGGCUAGCGGAGAGAAGACAGCGGAGCUCCACACACACAGACAGCGGGGCUGCGCGGGGCUGCACGCCGACCAAAACACACCGGCUGCCGGGAUCGAAACCGCGCGGACUACCGUAUAGGGGGAGCCGGAAUAGACGGAAGGGGGGAGAUGCAGGACGGAUGGUGUCUGGAGCUCUGCUCCGGACAGACCGAGGCUCCCUCAUCGGAGGGUGAAGCCAGAGGAUACGAAGGGAGAUUGAAGCGAAAUGGCAUCUUGUUUAAUUUCUGCCAAUCAAGACGAGAGGAAGACAACUCCCAAACUGGCAUGCCUCCGGAUGGCCCCGGCAAGACAAAGUUUGUUGCCAGUUUCCUAAAAAGUGGGGGGAAGAUUAUUCCACCAAAAUACAUCCCCAGAGGCUGGCAGGGCCCGGUCAAGGUGUUCCCCAUCCAUCCGUCCAUCCAUCCAUCCAUCCAUCUCCCCUUCUGUUCCUCGCGUGCAGAGUCUGGCUGUCGCAGCUCGAGGAUAUUUAGCCUGCAACAGGUGUGA